UCUUGGAGAAUGAAAGUAGUCCCGGGUACUCAGGAGGCUGAGGCAGGAGGACUGCUUGAGUUCAGGAGUUCUGAGCUAUACUGCACUAUUCUGAUAGGGUGUCUGCACUAAGUUUGGCAUCAAUAUGGUGAUCUCCUGGGAGCGAGGGGCCGCCAGUUUGCCUAAGGAGGGGUGAAUCAGCCCAAGUCAGAAAUGGAGCAGGUCAAAACUCCUGUGAUGAUCAAUACUGAGAUAGCACCUGUAAAUAGCCACUGCAUUUGAGCCUGGGCAACAUAGUAAGACCCUGGUGCUU
rnacentral:SRP_RNA from 2 species